GUUUUCCUGGGUUGGCUCAUGCCAUGUGUUGUUUAGAAUGACUCCAACCUUGAGUUACCAAUUUUAAGCUAACUUUCUGUUAUAAGCAAAAAUCUGUUGACCCCUUUAAGAAUUGCUUGUGUAGAUAAUCAGCCUCUAGCAGGGCUUUUCCACCUCUACUUGACUCCCAACUGCAGUGCAGUGUAACUUAUCAGUUUUUGCUAUGCAAAUUGAGACUGCCUUUGAAACAAGUUAAACUAAAUCAAAGGAUGGACACCCAGCAGAUAAAGUUUUAAACAUUUAUAUUUUUCAACAUGAAACACAGAACAACACUCAUUCAAACAACAAAACAAAAACAAACAUAAAUUGACAGACAUAUGGACAAUUUGGUGCACCAAGAACAGACAAUAGACAGACAGGGAUUAGAACUUGAUGUCUCAAAGGGACCCAGAUAUCCUAACCAGAACUAAGAAUAUCUCCAUAGGAGACAGAGAGGAAGCAAGGCGUCUCCCGAUUUCCUCCUGUCCCUAGGAGAGCUCUAAAAUAGCUUAUUUCCAUUUUUCUUCUCUUUUGCUAAAAGGUCCCGAACAGGGGAUAACUGCUUUUCUGAAACCUAGUCUCUCUAUCUUUUUCUCUCUCAUGUUCAAAGUCUAAUUCUUUAUCUCCUUCUUCUGGGAAUUCUGCCAGCAAAGGGUGAGGAGUCACAGUGGUAGCUUCUGAUAGUUGCUGCCCAGUGCCCUGCUUUUCUAACUCUCCUAAUUACUCCUCAAACUUGUCAAAUUCUUUCAUAUAUAUAUGAAUACACACACACACACACACACAUAUCAUUCCUACUUCUGGGAAUUAAGAACAACGUAAAUGUAAGAAUUUUUCUAACACCUGUUAUUAUGUUUUUGUAGUUUUGUGUUUUACUCUUUAUUUAUUUUAUUUUAUUUUAAACCCUAUUCCUCCCACCUAGAGCAGCUCUUGGCUGUGAACAAAUUUUCUUAACCCAUGUUCCUCGUGUCUUGAGGGAUUCCUUGAGAUCCUGUUAAAAACAAUUCAUGUCUACUUAAUGUGUGUCCCAUAUUCUAGCCACUCUUCCUACCUUUCUCGGGUUUACUGUCGAUGGAGUCCCCCAUGCCCAUUUCUCAUCUCCUGUAUCUACUCUCAGGCAUUCCUUUACUAAGGACCACAAAGUAAAAGCUUCAAUGGGCACAUUUUCAGGACCAUGAGCAGCCUAAAAGCUUCUAAUUCGCUCACCAAUUUUAUUCCAUGUUUCCACAUUAAUAGUACCAUCCCUAGGAUGGUAGGCCUGGUCAGAGUCCCUCAUUAACUUGUACCAUGAAGCUUGGCCACAGGACAGCAGUAGAUCCUCUAUUUGGGGGAUUCAAGAGAUCAAAUGACUCAGACAGCUGGGGCAUUACUAGCUCUGCACUGCCACCCCAGGGACAGACAGAGCCCUAGUAUGGGAAAUAUUUAUUUUAGGAGAAUUUGUCUCCAAGAGAACUUACUGUUCCUCUUACAAAGAACAGGGUAUUUUGUGUACAUAAUUUGUUACACACUCGAUGCCCACUGCUGCAAUCUCUACCUAAGUUGAUAAGUCCUGCAGAGUAACUUCAGUCAAUGUCAAAUGGUAACAACAACUAAAUCAAACAGUAGCCAUGAAUUUGAAAGCACUGUGUAUUUAAUGCAAGGUAAAUGAAAAAGAAAUGAAAUAACAUCUGAUUGGCUCUCCCGGAAGACCCGCCCCCUUCUCAUCCCGCCGCCCGCCCCCCUCGGCACGCCCACAGCGGAGGACGGAACUGAGCGCACAGGCGCAGUGCUGCCUCUCUCAGCUGGUUUCCCGCCCUCCUUCCUUCCCUCCCAGUCCUCUCGCCCCUCCUCAGGCCCGAGAAUCUUCCUCCUUCUGGCGCCAUCCUUAGCUGAGCUUUCGCCAGGGAACGUCUUCCUAGUCCCUCAGGCAGCGGUGCGGGCGCGACCCUGCUCCACGCUCGCGGUUCCCGGGGAGGAGCAUACCACCAGAGCACGGGGGGAGCCGCCCUGCCAACCGCGCCUCGGCGACCCCGUGGGGCUGAGUCGACGUCACACCAGAGCACGGGGGAGCCGGCCGCCCUGCCUCCCGCGCCUCGGCGACCCCGUGGGGCUGAGGCGACGUCACACCAGAGCACGGGGGGAGCCGGCGGUCCUGCCGCCUGCGCCUCGACGACCCCGCGGGGCUGAGGCGACGCCGCACCCCGCAGCCUGAGCGCACAGCGGCCUUGACCCAGAACUCGGAGCCGCGAGCGCCGCCCCCACCCAUCCGGACCGCGGUCAUGGCCGAGACCGAGGAGCGGAGCCUGGAAAACUUCUUCGCCAAGAGGGACAAGAAGAAGGAACGGAGCAGUCGGGCGGCCAUCGUUGCGAGCGGCACGGACGGGAGCAGCGCGGCGGUGGGCUCCAGGCCGGGCGAUGGCCGGAGCUCGGUCUCAGGUGCCAGGUCGGGCGACUUAGGGAGCUCGGGCUCUGGUGCUAGGUCCAGAGACAGCGGGAGCGCGGGCCCGGCCGACAAGGCCAUAACGAAGGAUGAAAAUGAGUGGAAAGAAUUUGAGCACAUAGAGGUUGAUUACAGUGGAUUAAGAGUUCAGGCAAUGCAAAUAAGUGAAAAGCAAGAUGAUGAUAAUGAGAAGAGAGAAGAUCCAGGAGAUAAUUGGGAAGAAGGUAGAGGUGGCAGUGGAGCAGAAAAAUCUCCAGGUUCCUGGAAUAAAACCGUUCUGGUACAAGCGCCUCCUGCUCCAGUAACAGUUACAGAAACCCCGGGGCCAGCAAUGCCCAGUGGUGUAUUUAGGCCUCCUGAGGCAAGGCUAACCACAACAUGGAAAACUCCACAAGGACCACCGGAAAUAUACAGUGACACACAGUUCCCAUCCCUGCAGUCCACUGCCAAGCAUGUAGAGAGCCGGAAGGAUAAAGAAAUGGAGAAGACCUUUGAAGUAGUAAGACACAAAAAUAGAGAUAGGGAGAAGGUUUCAAAAAACCAGGCCCUUAAACUUCAGCUAGACCACCAGUAUGCUGUGCUUGAGAAUCAGAAGUACAGCCACACACAGUAUAGGUAAGGAAUGGUCUUUGCUAAGCCUACCAAGGUAAUUAGACCACAGCUAACCACCAAGAACAGCCAGUCAUCGUUUUGAUUUCUGGAUCUACAGUGACUGACUGAAUACCUCAAGUCCAGUGACUGUCCCUGUUGCAUUAUGGAAGUUCAAGAGUCACGACUGAUCUUGAUGUGUGUUGGAUUUAGGAGUGUUUCAUUAUCUUAAGUAUUUGUGAAUUAGAUUCAACAGUGUUUCCAUAGUUGCUCUGCGUAUAAAACCAAACCUGCAGCCAGUGGCCAUUCAAACAUCUUUAUGUUCAGAUACUGAGCCUUCGCAAGGUUGACUACCUCAGAUUUGCUGCCCUUAGUUAUAGAUUUCAUUUGGAUCACAUCUUCGACAUAAGGUUACAGCUACUAGUGUCUGUGUGAACCUUGAAACCAACUCUACUGGAUUCCUGUCAGAAAGCCUUCAGAAGUCAGACAUCUGGGUUCUGAUCUGCUGUAAAUGAUGAAGAGGAUGAGGGCAGAGUAGAUCCAGGCAAGCUCGGAGACGGACACCAUGUUGCGGACUGCUGGCAAGGUGUUAGUCGCUGGAUGAUGUAAGGGCCUCACCCCAACGUGGCAUUAACAAACUGAACACAUUAACAGGGUUUCUCUGUAGACAUCCCAAUGGCUAUCUUAGGAAGCUGACAGUGACCUAUGGGGACCUGUGCUGCCCCAUGCCCAUGUAUACUUCACCCGUGCAGUGCCUUCCUGGCUGUGUUAAAUCACCAGUGCUGUGGACUGGACUCAGUCGACCCCUCAACUCGCAGGGGCCCCUCAACUCUCGGGAGAAUCAGAGUCCUGGUACACAGGCAUGAAGGAAUCAGCAGGGUGACAAACAGAUGCAAACACAAGAGAGUGUUGAUCUGAAUGUAAUUUCUCAAAGGAAGCAUCAGACUUAUGAUACAGAAGAAAAUAAGGAAGUUAGGUGACACAUCACCCAAGGUACAUUGAGGUUACCCGAUGCUUAAUGACUCUUUACACAAAAAAGAAAAAUGCAUACAUAAAGACUGACAGGAACUAGGUAAUGUAACAACUGAGACAAAGUCAUCUCUAUCUAAGGUCAGCUAUAUAUCUAAAAGCCAGGUGUGAGGUCAUUAUGUUCCCAGGGCUGGUCCUUUCUUGCCCAAACCAUAGUUCUAAUUCUCAUUUAUUGUUUAGCCCACCACCAGCCAGCUCUUAGUAAAUAUCUAACUAUGCUAUGCUUCUGGGCUAGUGAAAGUAUGUGCUACGGAGUUCUGUUCUAGGUAACCUUGUCAUGAAUAAUGCAAUACUCUAGUUCCUCCUUAAACCACAUCUCGACCUACUUCCUAAAGCAUUGUAAAUUCUUGUAAAUGUGAG
rnacentral:lncRNA from 1 species